CAACUAGCUUCCUCUCCCCUACUUCUCCUAUACCGAACGCGAAACGCAACGAAGAAUUCACAAAAUUAGCGAAUGGGUAGGCCCAGUCUAUAGAACAUACGUGAUAGGCAUAGCCAUCGCUGGCUAUAACCAGCUACAAAAUAACCUGUUAUCAUUGAAUUCUUACGUCAUCCUUUAUCUUACUAUGUUUUAGAUAUGAAUUUUUGCGCUCCCGACUGAUAACGAAAAAGUGUCGAUCACUUUUUAAACGACCAGCUUGGCAAUAUAAUCGAUGUAUUUCGAUCUGGCUAGACUGAAAUCAUUCGGCUGUCCUUCUUCGUAUUAAAAGGGAGCAGUGUAUUUUCUCGAUCAGUUUCAAUUUGAUUCAUUUCCACAAACCAAAAAUUGGGCAACGAUUUCCUGAUUGGGUUUUAUUUAUUAAGUUGUUAUAGUGUCGAUGAGGCUUUUUUAAAAAUCAGUUCCCUUAUUUUAAUGCCAAUCGUGCUGCUACCUUAGUGAGUACUUGGUUUAUCGAACAGCAAAGAAUUUAUCCAUUGUUUUGCGAUUGAUACAGUUCACGAGUUUAGUAUUCCGAUAAAGUAAUAUGCGUGACGUCUUUUUGUUUGGAUUGUGACUGAAAAAACCUUUCUGCCGUCGCUCAGUUUCGUGAAAAAUAAAAAAUGCAAUCGGUUAAGUUUAAUGAGUGGAAUCCAGGGACGUCAUCAACUCGAAAGUACCAAGAGGGCGCGUCAUUCGAUCUAACUUUUCGCAAUUUAAGUUAUACCACGGGAAAAGGGAAAAAAGCUAAGCACAUUUUACAUCAAAUAAGUGGUUCCUUCAAAUCUGGACACCUAACGGCCAUUCUAGGGCCGUCUGGAGCAGGAAAAACUUCGCUCAUGAACAUUUUAGCAGGCUUAAAGAAAAGUGGAAUAGAAGGCCGAGUUGACGUAAAUGGAGCAAAACGAAAGUUCAAAACUUUCCGAAAGCAGUCGGCUUACGUAACACAGCAAGAUCAUCUUUUGAAAAACUUGACCGUCGAUGAGUACAUGACUGCCGCGGCCCAUUUGAAAUUAGGAAACAAAGUUUCCGACAAGGAAAAGAAAUCCACGAUUGAGCAAAUUCUGAAAACAUUAGGACUAACGAAUACUCAAAAAACGAGAGUGAAAUGCUUAUCCGGUGGUGAAUGCAAAAGACUGUCUAUAGGACUGGAAUUAAUUGAUAAUCCUGCCAUUUUAUUUCUGGAUGAACCGACCAGUGGGUUGGACAGCUCAUCGAGUUUGCAGUGCGUGUCGCUAUUGCGUGAUAUCGCCAGAAGCGGUCGCACGGUAGUUGCCACGAUUCAUCAGCCAAAUUCACGGUUACUAGAUCUAUUUGAUCACCUUUAUAUUGUAGCAGGAGGAUCGUGCAUGUAUCAGGGACCUGUGGAUUCCUUAGUCCCUUAUCUCCAGACGAUGAAUUUGGACUGCCCUAAUCACCACAGUCCAACAGAUUUUGCGAUUGAUGUGGCUUCUGGAGAGUACGGUGACGUGCUACCCAGACUGGUAUCUGGAAUUGAAAACGGUCGUCGGAUUUUCCACGAAAAUUCGCCAGCAAUUUUAGCGUCGCCUGCACUCAGCCAUGACACGGGAUUUUACGAAGAGGACGAAUGCGACCUUAUGUUGGACGGCAACUCGAAGAAAAAAGAAAAAAAAGGAAAGAAUAAGGAUGGGCUAAUGUACGGCGCACCUUUUCAUUAUCAAGUUUCUAUUCUACUUGGACGAACCUGGCGAACUAUUUGGAGAGAAAAGAUUCUGACGACAAUGCGUCUCACUCUCCACGUUUGUAUUGCCUUCUUGAUGGGCAUGUUGUAUUGGCAGAUCGGGGACGAUGCCGACGAUAUAUUCAACAACGCCGGCAUGAUUUUCUUUAGUCUAAUUUUUAUUUUAUACGUAGCCAUGAUGCCCACAUUUCUGACUUUUACACUUGAGAGGGAGGUACUGGUUCGGGAACAUUUAAACCAAUGGUACAGUCUCAAAGCGUACUACCUUGCCAAAACGCUGGCCGACAUUCCGUUCCAGAUAGUCUUUCCUACUUUAUAUUUAAUCCCCCUAUACUUUAUGAGUAACCAGCCGUUGUGCAUAGGAAGUUUCAGCAUGUUACUGGGCAUCUUGAUUUCUAUGGCACUAGUCGGUCAAGGCAUCGGACUGUUUUUCGGCGCCGCGUUUGACAUCCCAGUAGCCUCCUACUUUGCACCAAUCUGCUGCAUUCCGUUCUUGUUAGUAUCGGGUUUCGUACUCAAAUUUAACGCGAUUCCAUCUUAUUUGAGCUGGAUAACCUACCUCAGUUUCCUUCACUACGGUUUCGAGGGAUCCAUGUUAUCCUUAUACACUGUUGAUCGUCCGCCUCUUGGCUGCUAUCAAGAUUACUGCCAUUUUCGAUACCCCAUCAAGUUUUUAGAACAAUUUGAUUUGACAAACAGUUCGUAUUACUUGGCUCUUGUUGGAAUGCUGGUGUCGUUCGUUGUAAUACGAGUGGGUGCCUAUUUUGCCUUGAGUUUCAAACUUAGGCAUGUGCGUUGAAGCAACUUCUAUUCUACAUUACUUUUGUCAUACUAUAUUGUUACUACAGUACAGCUCGAUAAACGGCAACUAGAUCACUGGUUAUUCAUUAAAAAGGAAAAUAUUUUGAGUCGAACUGGGAUCUUUUCUAUGAGAUAAAGUGGGCUUUUUUUUAUUCGGUUUGGGUCGUUAUGCAGAUUCAACCGAUACCUACUAAUAAUCCUUCUGCUCAACGAUAGCGGGAGUACCCGGAUUCUUAGUUUUUGAUUAUCAUUAAGAUCCAAUUUCCCAGUCACAGACUAUCUCCAACAACGGCAAGAACAGCGUUUUUGGUGUUCCAUACAUUGUGUUUCAUAUCUUGAGUAUUGUAAUUAAAUUUCCCAUGCUUGAUUUGUUUUUUACUAAUAUUUAUUGAUAGAAUUACAGGCAUUCAUUAAGACCAUUUCUGUGGUCGAGACUCGAGAGGGUCUUUAUCUGUUGUUAGUUGUUGUUACACAGACUUACAGUUACAGCUUUAUACAGCCAUGAUAUGGCCAUUAGCGAGUUAAUGAAAGUUAUAUCCUAUUUUUAUUUUAUUAUUUUUUUUAUUUAAUAAAAAUCAUAAACAGCCCUUCGACUUCGAGUACCUUUUACUUUUAGCUACAUGUGUUUACUUUGGUAGUAACUAGUAAGAAAUGUCUUCACCCCAUAGUUUAGUUUUUGGUCAUUAGGUGGCAGAGAAAACAAAAAAACAACAGAAUCGCUUAUCAGACCCUUACUUCUUUUUUGCUGUAAGACUGUUAGCCAGUUAGUAAGUUUACAUAUGCUUGUUUGAUGAUUGUGUGUACUGUGCAAUUUGAAAUAGGAAAAGUGAAGAGGGUUGAAUCAGGCUCUACUUAGUAUCCACGAGUAUCGAGGAUAAAAUUAAUUAUCCGCCUAUCGUCGAUAUUUCGAUACGAUUGACCAGUUGUUUCAUUCCAUUAGGAACUAGAAAUGGAUGCUGCAGUAAAAUUAGAAAUGUGUCGUCUAACAACUCAGAACCAAACAAAUGUCCCAUUGGAUCUUACCUUCCAUGACAUUUGUUACACCGUUGGCAAGGCAAAACCUAUUGUUAUUGCUCUAUGCAUGUAAGGGCACUCCUGCAUCCAUG
rnacentral:misc_RNA from 1 species